GCCCGAUCCAACAAUGGGGUGUCCCUGGUGGGCUGUGUUUGGCUCAGACACCCCAGUUGUUGUGGUUCUAUUGGCCAGAGCAGCUGCUCUCCCACACCCGCAGCUGCUGUUCUCGUGGUCCUGGGCUUGGGCCUGGAGAAGCCCCUCUCCAGGAGGCUGGGCCAGCCCUACGCUCACACCUAGAGAUACUGCAGCUUCCUCUGUUGGCCUUCAAGCCACAUGGCCCCUAAUUUCCCCUUCAAAGCAGGCUCCUGGGCUUUUGAGGGAUUGUCACUCUUGGAGGAAAUAAAAAUGUAGAAAAAUACAGCAGAGCACUCUAGAGAAUAUGUACUUUCUCAACUUUCCUAGCCACCUUCCUUCAAGCAGUUAUAACGCUUCUGGCUAUCAUAGGACAUUGAGAGGGAAAAGGCCUCAUCGACAUAGCAACUGUAGGCUAGGUGGGCCUUUGGUGCACAUAACCCCCAGCACCCACAGAUAUCCGGGCCUCCUGUGUAUGAAUGUGUGCCAAGAAUUUAGACCUACUUCUUGCCUUCCGGGCUCUCUAUUCCUCAUCCUCCAUCCAAGUGGCCGUCUUGUGCAGGUAAUUCUUUUCUCUCCCCUCACCCUCUCCCCCUGCUUCUCCCUACUGUCUCUCCCCCUGUUUCUCUCUGAGUCUCUUUCCCCCUUCUGUCUUCCAGCGCAUCCUCUGCAAUUCGAGGUCGUCCUCUUCUCCAGCUGCCGCUGCAGAGCCCCAAGUGUGGUCCCCACGCCCCCUCACUGUACACUUCGGCAGGAAGGUGCUUCUGUGUCCCCCGUCCUCAUCCUCCACUGCAUCUGUCCUGCUUCGUCUCUUCCUCCUGGACUCAGGUUGGCCUUAGGCCCUGCUCCAAAAGGAGGACAUUCACCAGAGCUUCAGACUUCCUCCUGCUGCCGCUGCUCCUCGGAAGCCAACCUGGUGACUGCGGAUGUCUAGGCCCAGACCGUGCCUGGCAGAGCAGCCACGGGGUGGAGAAACAAGUCCUCAAGAGGGCUGCGAGGAGAGCCACGGAGACGGGUCAGGGAAACUGAGGCCACACAACUGGGAAUAAGAAGGUGGGGUGCUGGGGGGCUUGUCAAUGUGGUUCUUCCACAGAGGAUGGGAAGCCCCUUCCUUUCUGCCCAAGAAAGUAUCUCCAGCAUUCACCGAAAUCUCCCCAAGGGGGAAGCGCCUCAGGAAGGGGAACUAGGAAGGAAAUACAGGCUGGUGCUUACUCCACCCCCAUCACAAAGAGGCUCAGAGAGAGACUUGGGAACGAGAUGCAUAUGCAAUUUUUUAAAUCACUCAUUCAAGAAAUAAUAAUGAAAAAUGAGUUACAGGCGAUGGAUUAGUAAGGGCUGAUCAGAUUGACUGUGUAAGUGAAUUACAUUUAAAUUACACUUGAAGGAGCUCUAUCAAGAGCAAUUAUGGGUCCUUCGGGAGGCUUUAAAAAGAGGAGGGAUGAAACUUGGUUAAAAUGGGGGCUUGUUAAAGGCAAGAAGAGUACAGAAUGGUUGAGGUGACUUUCUCUGUGCCCCACUUUCAACCCUGCUCUGCCAAGCAGGCUUGCAGGUGGGAAUAUUUGCUUGCCCUGGGUUCAGCAAGUGCUGCCUCACCUAACCGGCUUCCAAGGUAUCAGGUUUUAAGCUGGUGUGGCAAGAAUGAUAUUGGCCUUUGUGUUCUAAAGGAGUGGCAUGAAGCACAGUGGACCUUGAUCUUCAGUUGACGCCACAAUCUCCCUAAUCCACUGAUCUCCAGUCAUCCCACUAGAUUAGCCACCCUAUCAGGCGGUAUUUUUCCAUGUCCCAUGUGCUCAAGGACGAAGUUCUAAAAGCAAGCUUGGAAGCUUACGCGAUGCAGUACAGUGUCAGGGGUGGGCAGGGGAGAGAAAAGCAAAGGAUUUACAUUUGUUUUAGAAACUGCUGCCUAAAGAUAAGCUUGUCUGUGCAACUAUAUGACUUCUGACACCGAGGCAGGGAGGAUUGUGAAACCAGGAUAGAAAGAAUUUCAGACAGCAAAUAAAUACACAUUCGCUUUAGCCAGGGCGUGGGGUGGGGAGGUGGCUGGGAAGGGACUGAGUCUAUGAAGAGGCCUAGAGUAAUAGUUUUUGAAGCGUUACUUAUCUAGUGCUAGGCGGCAGAGUUCAUUUUGUUUGUAUGCAGUGAUUAUUUGCAGUCUACAUGCAGAAAACCAGUUUAUCUAAUGAAGCGCAGGGCUACAAAUAAAGGUUUCUUAAUAGACCCAGGCGACUGCCAUGGGCCUCACCCUAACUGAGGGGACACAGGGCCUUACCAUCAGGGACUAGGCUUUGGGAGGCACUGAGGCAAGUUGGAGAGUUAGAAAAGGAGUCAGCCAUGAGUUAUGUCCUGGUUAUUACCAAGAAAUAAUCUAAAAAAUGAAAAUAAAGAUGCAUAUCAGGAGUUGGAAGCAAUGUUUUACUGAAGGGCAGUCCGGAGACAUGCAUCUGUCUCCAGGUGUUCAAAUGCACUCUCCUCUCACUGAGGGGGCCUGAAAGCCUCCCCGUGGCUGCUCUGGGUCCCAGGUGCGUCCAGACGUCGCCAGACACAGCUCUGUCAGGUGAGGCAGGCACCAGGGGAGGAGGCCUUGGCUUUGUUAAUUGUGCAGAAGAGCGGGGACUUUGAUGACAAUUUUUUUAAUCUAAUGACAAGCUAUUUCCUUUACCAAUAGCGUCCCGAAGGGCAAAUUCUAAAACCAAGGCCAUUUGAUAAAGCCUGGGGAAUUUAUUGCAAGGCAGAUGGACACAGCUGCAGCACAUAAGAGUACGUGCGUGGGGCUCCAGCCCGGCCACGGUGGGAACUUUUCUCAGCAAAGGGCAGCACUGCUGGCUUUGCUGGGGCGGCCUUCCCAGGAAGAUCCCAGGGGAGAUGGUCUGAGGUGUGUGAACACUGUGAAUGUCACGGACAAAGCUCAGCGUGGGACCCCAUGGGACUUCAGGUUAUUAAGAUGUAAAUGUUGGCCGAAAGCUUAUGUGUGAAUUUUAUUUUUAAGUUGUGACUUCCUUUCUGCCUGGGCCAGUGCACAAGCUGGAGGAGGGAGAGUCGGUAUCACUCUGCAAGAGAAGUUUCUUCAGGUUUCUGGGUGUGUUCUUGAGUUAAUAGAAAUCUGACACCACUGAGAAGUAACUGACAAAGGCUUUCCGGCCCCGAGGCAGGGUGUCACGUACUGGCCCUGACCAAUCCCAUUUGGAGCUGAAGACUCCAGAACAUGGCAGAAGGUCAUUUCUGCAGGAGUGUUAGCUGUUCUGCAGCUGAAAGAGGAACUACAAUUGAAGGCAGGAAAGCAACGUUGUGAAAAUGCCUAUGGCUGCCACUGAGAGUUACCAAACAGCCUCAACAGUCUCCUAAGAAAUGAUCGCUGGGGACACAUGUUUUCAGACUCUCAUUGCAUGCCCUGUAUGUACCUGUUGUAAAGUCGAGAAAUCACACCAGCACCAGCACUGCUUUCCUGGUCACCUGUUGAAAAUGUAAUGGACAUGAAACACUAAAAACAGCAUUAAAUUCAGCGGCUUU